UACGAAGGGGGCGAGCGUUGUUCGGAUUUACUGCGCGUAAAGGGCGCGUAGGCGGCGGGUCAAGUCGAGUGUGAAAUCCCCGGGCUCAACCUGGGAACUGCAUCUGUGACUGCAUAGCUAGAGUACGGUAGAGGGGGAUGGAAUUCCGCGUGUAGCAGUGAAAUGCGUAGAUAUCUGGAGGAACACCGGUGGCGAAGGCGGCAUCCUGGACCGGUAUUGACGCUGAGGCGCGAAAGCCAGGGGAGCAAACGGG
rnacentral:rRNA from 1 species